rnacentral:rRNA from 1 species
CAGUCGAACGGACUUAUACUGAAACCUAGUGAUUUAUGAGUUAGUGGCGGACCGGUGAGUAACGCGUGGAUAACCUGCCGUAUACCGGGGGAUAACACUUAGAAAUAGGUGCUAAUACCGCAUAAGCGCACGGCUCCGCAUGGGGCAGUGUGAAAAACUCCGGUGGUAUACGAUGGAUCCGCGUCUGAUUAGCUAGUUGGCGGGGUAACGGCUCACCAAGGCAGCGAUCAGUAGCCGGCCUGAGAGGGUGGACGGCCACAUUGGGACUGAGACACGGCCCAAACUCCUACGGGAGGCAGCAGUGGGGAAUAUUGCACAAUGGGGGAAACCCUGAUGCAGCGACGCCGCGUGAGUGAAGAAGUAUCUCGGUACGUAAAGCUCUAUCAGCAGGGAAGAUAAUGACGGUACCUGACCAAGAAGCCCCGGCUAACUACGUGCCAGCAGCCGCGGUAAUACGUAGGGGGCAAGCGUUAUCCGGAUUUACUGGGUGUAAAGGGAGCGUAGACGGCAGCACAAGUCUGGAGUGAAAUCCCGGGGCUUAACCCCGGAACUGCUUUGGAAACUGUGCGGCUGGAGUGCAGGAGGGGUAAGCGGAAUUCCUAGUGUAGCGGUGAAAUGCGUAGAUAUUAGGAGGAACACCGGUGGCGAAGGCGGCUUACUGGACUGUAACUGACGUUGAGGCUCGAAAGCGUGGGGAGCAAACAGGAUUAGAUACCCUGGUAGUCCACGCCGUAAACGAUGAUUACUAGGUGUCGGG